rnacentral:tRNA from 2 species
CAGAGUGUAGUUUAAUAAAAAUGUUAGUUUUGGGAAUUAAUGAUAGGGUUUUCUUUUCUCUGA